UAUCAAUCUUCAUGAUGCGUCGCACAG
rnacentral:sRNA from 1 species